rnacentral:rRNA from 1 species
UACAGAGGUCUCAAGCGUUGUUCGGAUUCAUUGGGCGUAAAGCGUGCGCAGGCGGUUUUGUAAGCCAGAUGUGAAAUCCCCGGGCUUAACCUGGGAAUGGCAUUUGGGACUGCAAGGCUGGAGUGCGGCAGAGGAGACUGGAAUUCCUGGUGUAGCAGUGAAAUGCGUAGAUAUCAGGAGGAACACCGAUGGCGAAGGCAGGUCUCUGGGCUGACACUGACGCUCAUGCACGAAAGCGUGGGGAGCAAACAGG